rnacentral:rRNA from 1 species
GACGAACGCUGGCGGCGUGCUUAACACAUGCAAGUCGAGCGAGAAACCCUCUUCGGAGGGGAGUACAGCGGCGAACGGGUGAGUAACACGUGGGCAACCUGCCCCAAGGAGCGGGACAACCCGGGGAAACCCGGGCUAAUACCGCAUGUUCCGCAGCGCCUGAAGGUGCUUCGGGAAAUGGUAGCUUCGGCCUCCGCCUUGGGAUGGGCCCGCGGCGCAUUAGCUUGUUGGUGAGGUAAUGGCUCACCAAGGCGACGAUGCGUAGCUGGUCUGAGAGGACGAUCAGCCACACUGGGACUGAGACACGGCCCAGACUCCUACGGGAGGCAGCAGUGGGGAAUCUUGCGCAAUGGGCGGAAGCCUGACGCAGCAACGCCGCGUGAGGGAAGACGGCCU